ensembl:miRNA
GCCGGGUCCGGGGUCCGGUGCGGAGUGCCCUUCGUCCUGGGAAACGGGGUGUGGCC